UGCCCCAUAGUCUGGGAUACCACUUGGAAACAGGUGCUAAUACCGGAUAAGAAAGCGGAUCGCAUGAUCAGCUUUUAAAAGGCGGCGUAAGCUGUCGCUAUGGGAUGGCCCCGCGGUGCAUUAGCUAGUUGGUAAGGUAAAGGCUUACCAAGGCGAUGAUGCAUAGCCGAGUUGAGAGACUGAUCGGCCACAUUGGGACUGAGACACGGCCCAAACUCCUACGGGAGGCAGCAGUG
rnacentral:rRNA from 1 species